rnacentral:rRNA from 1 species
CCUACGGGAGGCAGCAGUGGGGAAUAUUGCACAAUGGGGGAAACCCUGAUGCAGCGACGCCGCGUGAGUGAAGAAGUAAUUCGGUAUGUAAAGCUCUAUCAGCAGGGAAGAAAAUGACGGUACGUGAGUAAGAAGCUCCGGCUAACUACGUGCCAGCAGCCGCGGCACCACGUAGGGGGCCAGCGUUAUCCGGAUUUACUGGGUGUAAAGGGAGCGUAGACGGCAGUGCAAGUCUGGAGUGAAAGGCGGGGGCUCAACCCCCGGACUGCUCUGGAAACUGUACGGCUGGAGUUCAGUAGAGGUAAGUGGAAUUCGUAGUGUAGCGGUGAAAUGCGUAGAUAUUAGGAGGAACACCAGUGGCGAAGGCGGCUUACUGGACUGUAACUGACGUUGAGGCUCGAAAGCGUGGGUAGCAAACAGGAUUAGAUACCCCAGUAGUC